rnacentral:lncRNA from 1 species
GCAGCAUGGCUGUUACUAUGCAGAGACAUUCUGCAGAGACUACAAGGAUUCAAGCAACCUGCCUGAAGUCACAGAGCUGGUCUAGGAGGCCAAGAGUGAGGACUGAGGAGGAUUUCAGGCUUCGAAAAAUUAUUGAAAUGAGAACAGAUAGCUGGACGGACAAAGCUUAGCUGAUGCCACUCAAGGUGAGAACUUAUUUGGCUCCAGUUAUGUCAAUAUAAAUAAACAGAGAUUU